AAGCAGCUUAACCCUUUUACCAGCCA
rnacentral:piRNA from 1 species